rnacentral:lncRNA from 1 species
GUAAAUUUAUCAACUCACUUUGUUUUUGAGUUGAUUAUUGGUUCACCAAUCUACUAGGCUUUGAAUUUCAUGGUCAUGUUUUGUUUUUGAGUACAUACAAGCAUGAUUCCGCCUUUAAUUGUUAAAUUGCAUGCUAUAUGAUGUUGCUCAAAUGAACAUGUUUUUCAAAAUAAUUCCUUCAUUCUCCACCUUUUCCUUGCUUGUUCCUCUUCUACUUGGCUCCUCCACCUAUAUACAAUUAUACAAGU